CGAUGAAGCCCAGCUUGCUGGGUGGAUUAGUGGCGAACGGGUGAGUAACACGUGAGUAACCUGCCCUUGACUCUGGGAUAAGCCCGGGAAACUGGGUCUAAUACCGGAUAGGAGCGCCUGUCGCAUGACGGGUGCUGGAAAGAUUUUUCGGUCAUGGAUGGACUCGCGGCCUAUCAGCUUGUUGGUGAGGUAAUGGCUCACCAAGGCGACGACGGGUAGCCGGCCUGAGAGGGUGACCGGCCACACUGGGACUGAGACACGGCCCAGACUCCUACGGGAGGCAGCAGUGGGGAAUAUUGCACAAUGGGCGGAAGCCUGAUGCAGCGACGGCCGCGUUGAGGGGAUGACGGCCUUCGGGG
rnacentral:rRNA from 1 species